rnacentral:rRNA from 1 species
CCUACGGGCGGCAGCAGUGGGGAAUAUUGCACAAUGGGGGAAACCCUGAUGCAGCGACGCCGCGUGAGUGAAGAAGUACUUCGUUACGUAAAGCUCUAUCAGCAGGGAAGAAAAUGACGGUACCUGAGUAAGAAGCCCCGGCUAACUACGUGCCAGCAGCCGCGGUAAUACUUGGGGGGCAAGCGUUAUCCGGAUUUACUGGGGGUAAAGGGAGCGUAGACGGUUAGCCAAGUCUAGAGUGAAAUGCCGCAGCUUAACUGCGGAACUGCUUUUGAAAAUGGCGAUCUAGAGUGCGGGAGGGGUAAGCGGAAUGCGUGGUGUAGCGGUGAAAUGCGUAGAUAUUAGGAGGAACACCGGUGGCGAAGGCGGCUUACUGGACCGUAACUGACGUUGAGGCUCGAAAGCGUGGGGAGCAAACAGGAUUAGAUACCCCAGUAGUC